GUCAGGAUGGCCGAGCGGUCUAAGGCGCCAGACUCAAGGAUAGUAUCCUUCCCAUGAGUCAUGGGAGUUGGGCGUUCUGGUCUCCGAAUGGAGGCGUGGGUUCGAAUCCCACUUCUGACA